rnacentral:rRNA from 1 species
AGUUUGAUCCUGGCUCAGGAUUAACGCUGGCGGUAUGCCUAACACAUGCAAGUCGAACGGAAUACUAAUUAAGAGAAUCUCACACUAGUGAGAGGUUCUCACGAGUAGUAUUUAGUGGCGGACGGGUGAGUAACACGUUGGAACCUGCCCCGAAGUGGGGAAUAACUGCUCGAAAGAGUAGCUAAUACCCCAUAGUAUCCGGUUUAUCCGGAUUAAAGAUUUAUCGCUUCGGGAGGGGCCCGCGUCUGAUUAGCUUGUUGGUGAGGUAAAAGCUCACCAAGGCGACGAUCAGUAGCUGGUUCGAGAGGAUGACCAGCCACACUGGGACUGAGAUACGGCCCAGACUCCUACGGGAGGCAGCAGUGAGGAAUCUUCCACAAUGGACGAAAGUCUGAUGGAGCAAUACCGCGUGCAGGAAGACGCUUUUCGGAGUGUAAACUGCUUUUGUCGUCGAAGAUUAUGACUGUAGACGAAGAAUGAGGACCGGCUAACUACGUG